UACGUAGGGCGCAAGCGUUGUCCGGAAUUAUUGGGCGUAAAGAGCUCGUAGGCGGUUUGUCGCGUCUGCUGUGAAAUCCUCAGGCUCAACUUGGGGCGUGCAGUGGGUACGGGCAGACUAGAGUGCGGUAGGGGAGACUGGAAUUCCUGGUGUAGCGGUGGAAUGCGCAGAUAUCAGGAGGAACACCGAUGGCGAAGGCAGGUCUCUGGGCCGUUACUGACGCUGGAGGAAGCGAAAGCAUGGGGAGCGAACAGG
rnacentral:rRNA from 1 species